rnacentral:rRNA from 1 species
AACGAACGCUGGCGGCAUGCCUAACACAUGCAAGUCGAACGAGACCUUCGGGUCUAGUGGCGCACGGGUGCGUAACGCGUGGGAACCUGCCCUUAGGUUCGGAAUAACUCCCCGAAAGGGGUGCUAAUACCGGAUAAUGUCUUCGGACCAAAGAUUUAUCGCCUUUGGAUGGGCCCGCGUUGGAUUAGCUAGUUGGUAGGGUAAAAGCCUACCAAGGCGACGAUCCAUAGCUGGUCUGAGAGGAUGAUCAGCCACACUGGGACUGAGACACGGCCCAGACUCAGGGGGGGGGGAGGGGUGGGAUAUGUGGGAGAAUGGGGGAAAGGAUGAUCCAGGUAGGCGGCUGGAGGGAGGAGGGCAUGAUGGUUGUGGAGCUCUUUAGCACGGGAAGAUAAGGAAAGAACGGGGGGAGUAAGCGCCAGGUAACUCCGGCCCGGAGGCCGGGGAAAGAGAAGGAGGAGAACGCGUCUGAAC